GAUCCGUGCGGCACGGCUACUCGACUCCGCACCGGCGCGGGAGGGGGGGACCGAUGCCGCGGUUAUUCGGGGGCUGCGCCGCCGCCUCCGGCGGCGCGGCCGCCGCCUCCGCCCCGUACGCCGCUGCACCUGCGGCGCGAGACGCUGCUGGACGACGUCCUCCACAAGGCGGACGAGGGCGGGCGGCGGCCCGGCCGGCAGAGGGAGCAGAGGGCGGCGACCCAGCGCGAGGAGGCUCGGAGGUGCAGGGCGGAGUGGGAGGCGGACGGCGGCCGGAAGUGGCCUCGUAGCCGGAGGCGCCGACGCCCAGGAGACCGACUGGACGAGAGCGCGAUGGGCAUAGAUAGGCGCGACCGGCAGCAGAGGCGCAGGAGCCGGCGGCGAGUGCUGCGGCUGCGCGAGGACGAGCGCCACAGGCGGAGCGGCAGCCGGUGGUCCGAGUGUCGCGACGCCAAGAGCCAGCCAAGCGGGCAGAGCGGGCGACGCGACGCGCUGCAGAGGCAGUGGGAGAGGCCGGAGUGGAGCGAGGUGGAGUGGCGGCAGUCGGGGGACAGCAAGGCAACCGAGCGCACGAACGGGACGGAGUUUAGGAAACGGAAACAGUUGAGGCGGCAACGACGGCAACUGAGACGGCCAAGGUCGAGGCUACUUCUGAGGCCGCCGCUCCCGCUGCGGCAUCCCCGCAACGGAGACCUCUCCGACAGCGACACGCCGUAGGCGAGGCCGCUGGUGCCCGAGUCCACCGAUACCGUCGCGACACACUCGGAUGCCACCGACGUCGACGCGCGAACGCUGCCGUAGCCUCUACCGUGGAGGAGCCGACGGAAGAGUCCUACGGAUCGGCCGGACGAGCUCGAACUCGAGGCGCGAACGGCUUGGCAGCGGCUGGCGCAGGAGGAGUAGCGGCGACUGGCCACGACACGAGAGUUCAGAGAGGACCACAUACUGCCGCCGUCGUCCCUCCGGGAGGAGGUCAAGUAGGCAGCCGCGCCGCGGCGUGACGUGUGGAACCUGGAGGCGGACGGAGAGCUGGACGUGUUGCUGGUGGAGGAACGUUAGCCGCGUCUCGUUCCGGUGCUGUGGGCCCCGUCAGAACGGCACGAAGCGGAAGUUUCGACACAGGAGCAGUGCCCCCUGCCCGAAGCAAGAGAGCGCGCGUGCCGGUAACCCCGCCCGUAGUUUCUACAGCGGGACCACUCGACGCUACAUCAACUUGCCCUCGGACCCGACGAGUGCAAGGAGUCGGUCUCGUACGCAGUGGAGGCGGCCGAACUAGACAGAAUGUUGCUCUGGGACUUCCUGUUCCUCUAACCUCGGUACGAUAGCAGAACGGCCUUAGACUAACUGUAGUCCAAAUCCCCAACGGCGCCGUAAUGGCCACUUAGAAAUGAGAGCGACGAAUCCGUGACACCCGUCUGUCACCUCCAGCACCUGUAGAGGGCGACGGGACGGUAAUUUCACCGGUCACAGCUUGAGAAACGUGUCGCUCGGUGGGCAAACUUAGUAAACCAGUAGCUCCACUCGAGCCACAGCCUCCUUGACUUCCGCUAACGUGCCUGCUUUCCGUACUUCCAACCGGGUAACGGAACACUUCCUAGUAAGACUGCAUACCAUUUAGAAGAAGUCUACUUUGAGUAGCUUCGACCUUAAAUUCUUAGAAUAUGACGUACAAGUUAUUCCUUUCACGAAAGGAACACAUAUUAUGGGACCACCCUUACACACAUACAUACAGAACAAUUGACACUUGAACAGUACUUUUUCGAGGAGAACGACGGACCGUACAUUUAACUCGUCGUUCUUAACACGAUAACAUGUACAAAGUUCUUUAUUUUAACCUUAAUAAUGUACUCAAAGGGAAAUAACAAUCACUCAUUCCAUAUUACUACGUUCUCGACG
rnacentral:rRNA from 1 species